GAGUGGGGAGUGGCAGACGGGUGAGUAACGAGUAGGAAUCUACCUCUUGGUGGGGAAUAGCCAUCCGAAAGGAUGGGUAAUACCGCAUAAUCCCCCCGGGGCAAAGCGCGUAACUGCGCGCCGAGAGAGGAGCCUGCUUGCUAUCAGCUAGUUGGUGGGGUAAAAGCCCACCAAGGCGAUGACGGCUAGGGGGUGUGAGAGCACGACCCCCCACAAGGUCACUGACAUACGGGGCCUACACCUACGGGUGGCAGCAACCGGGAAUAUUGCGCAAUGGACGAAAGUCUGACGCAGCGACACCGCGUGUGGGAUGAAUGCCUUCGGGUUGUAAACCACUGUGGCGAGGGAGGAAAAAAAUGACAGUACCUCGCUAGAAAGCACCUGCUAACUACGUGCCAGAAGCCUCGGCAAUACGUAGGGUGCAAGCGUUAUCCGGAUUUACUGGGCGUAAAGGGUUUCGCAGGUUGGUAGUUUAGUCCAAUUUUAAAGCCCGCGGCUCAACCGCGGAAAUGGGUUGGAUACUGGCUAUCUUGAGGACAUCAGGGGAGACUGGAAUUCUAGGUGGAGGGGUGAAAUCCGUUGAUAUCUAGAGGAACGUCGAUGGCGAAGGCAAGCCUCUGGGGUGUUCCUGACACUCAUGUACGAAAGCUAGGGUAGCAAACGGGAUUAGAGACCCCGGUAGUCCUAGCCGUAAACGAUGGAUACUAGUUGCUCCACUUUUGUGGGGUGACGUAAGCUAACGCGUUAAGUAUCCCGCCUGGGUAGUACGGCCGCAAGGCUAAAACUCAAAGGAAUUGACGGGGGAGCGCACAACCAGUGGAGCAUGUGGUUUAAUUCGAUAUGAAGCGUAGUACCUUACCUGGGCUUGACAUGUAUCUGCACGCCCUGGGAAACCAGGGAAGCCUAAGAGGGUGAUACACAGGUGCUGCAUGGCUGUCGUCAGCUCGUGUCGUGAGACGUCUGCUUAAGUGCAGUAACGAGCGCAACCCCUGCCGUAUGUUGAAUAUUCAUGCGGGACUGCCUUACAGCAAGUAGGGAGGAAGGAGGGGACGACGUCAAGUCAGCAUGGCCCUUACGUCCAGGGCAACACACAUCCUACAAUGGGGAGGACAACGGGUUGCGAUCCGGUAACGGUAAGCUAAUCCUUCAAACCUCCUCUCAGUUCGAAUAGUGGGCUGAAAUUCGCCCACUUGAAGUCGGAAUUGGUAGUAAUCGCAGGUCAGCAGACUGCGGUGAAUACGUUCUCGCUCCUUGUACACACUGCCCGUCGAGCCAGCAAAGUCGGCAGAUCCCGAAGCGGGAGUCCGUAACCUAACUUGUUAGGGACGGCCCUUCUAAGGAUAGGUCGGCGAUGAGGACUAAGUCGUAACAAGG
rnacentral:rRNA from 1 species